rnacentral:sRNA from 2 species
CCGUCCCUCAUUGGGGAGUAGCCGCCCCGACGCCACACCUUGCCUACGCAAGGUUCGUUUUGCGCGUUCGGGGGCAUCCGUCAACAGACUUGGCCCGCGCGGCCAUGGCGGAUGCAGCCUCUGGCCUGGCGAGACCGAUGACCCGCAUGCGCGCCGCUUCAGGGCCC